rnacentral:SRP_RNA from 1 species
GCCAGGCGCGGUGGUGCAUGCCCAUAGUCCCAGCCACUCGGGAGGCUGAGACUGGAGGAUCACUUGAGUCCAGGAGUUCUGGGCUGUAGUGUGCUAUGCCAAUCGGGUGUCCACACUAAGUUCGGUAUCAACAUGGUGACCUCCCGGGAGCGGGGGACCACCAGAUUGCCUAAGGAGGGGUGAACUGGCUCAGCUCAGAAACAGAGCAGGUCAAAACUCCCAUGCUGAUCAGAUCAGGCCUGUGAAUAGCCACUGCAUUCCAGCCUAGGCAUCAUAGUGAGACCCCACCUCU